AUUCCCGAACUUGACUGCAGAAAUGAAGGAUAGUUGUUUACUUCUAAGAAAAAAAAAAUCUUAUCAAGGCUCCAAAGACCACAAACGUGAACCUCCUCAUAGGCAGGAUCUGUGCUACAUGCUGAUCACUGUGAAGGGGUUGUCUCACACUGUGACAGCCAGGGGCCUCAGCAUCAGAAGGGACAUAUGACUGCUGUCACCUUUACCAGUGCUCCUAUUCCUUAUGCAAUAAAGCAGUCAACAAGCCUUGAGAACCCAUGCCUUUCCUACUGAGAUCCCAAAUGAACCGGCACCUCCUCGCUGCAAAACAGCAUCCUGCCAUUGGUUAGGUUCUCAGAGGUCAGCAACACGACUAGGACUUUAUCGCUAUCUUCAGACCCAAGACCCCUCACCUACCCCCUAC